rnacentral:lncRNA from 10 species
UAUCAUAAUGGCCAUUUAAUGAUUAGUCAACAGUGUCUUGGGGAAUUUAAGUAAGUUUCUCAAAUUUCUUUCACAGAAAUUAGAAUUAAAGGAAUCAGAAUUGAAGUGAAUCUGACUACACUAAGCCUAUCACUUGUGACAGCCAUGGGAAGAUAUCAUUGGUUGCUGAGGAGCAGAAAUAAGCAGAGACCUAUUGUGUUAGGUUAUCAUUCAUUUCAGGCAAAAAGCAGAUCAGCAAGUUAAAAUUCUUCAACAUUUGGAAAAGAAGUGAACUGGACCAAGGGAAGAGGACACAGAAGGUAAAAGGAAGCCAGACCAGCAUGUUCUCCCACUCUAGUGCUCCUACCA